AUCAUCUUUAGACUUAAGUAAAACAUAUUCAAAGGAAUGGGAUAUAUUUGAAAUGUUUGAUUUUACAAGUUAUGUUGCCCUAUUAAGGUAUAAAAAAAAGCCAAAGUCAUCAAUAUUUGUUUUAUGUGAUGCAAAAAAUAUGCAAUAUAUGUCUAAGUGUCCUAAAAUUGAGGCAUUUAAACUUUUUACGCUGCUGAACGGUCUCAUCUUCAACCUUCGGGCUGGUCAGCUCUGGUUUGAGGGUCACUGCCCUGCAGCUCCAAUCCUGCUCAAACACACAUGCCUGUAAUUUCCAAGUACAUCUGAAGACCUUUAGCAGGUUUUGAUGCGUUUCAUUGGUGUUGGAGUUAAACUUGUUCUACCCUGCAAGAAAAUAUAUAGCUGAAAAUGCAAAGAUGUAGCCAACUAAAUAUACUAUCAAUAUUAACAUUUGUGCAACAUUUAAACUCAAAUAUUCAAUAUUGUGGAUUAACUUUUUUUCUUACCCUAAUCUGGCAAUUUAUCUUGGGGGAUACAGAUGUUCAUUCUGUCAUUUAGCACAUUUUGAAACAUUUUCUUUUUCAGCACCCCAAGACAAUGUUCACAAUUAUUAUUAGCAGUUUUAAUGCUUUUUUACGGAAGUACACAAAACUAAACAUUUUAAAACCACCAUAUCACCACUUUUCCCAUGUCCCCAGGCUUGCAUACCUUAUUUUCAUGACAAAUACAACACUUACUAUGUGAUUUUGUACAUUGUUGGGUAUAUCAGUAAUGAUUCUCUCAUGUAUAGAUUUUUCUCAAUUACUACAUUUUAAAAGUGAUAGGUUUUGCUUAUUUAUUGACUACUUUCUCUUCUAAUGAAAGUUGGAAAAAUUAAUGACAUCAUAAAGCAGUCAUCACUUCUUUGGAGGGAAAACUUAGAAAAGUGAUUGAGAAAUUUUAUUUCAACUUUGAUGUAGUCAACCUCAAUACAUCCACUCUGUUGAGGAAAAUAUGUUAGAACAAACAAAAAAACCCUAAUUCAGUGACAAUGAAAAAUUGGAGUAUCAAUAAUGUAGCACUUGUUAAAAACACCUCAGGCAUUUGUAUCUCAAAACGAAAAAUAUAGAAUGUGUUUGUGAGAAAUACAAUACAUUCUGAUAAUUUAUUAACUGAUAUGCUUUUAAAAGGGACAUGAUUUUGUCUAAGAUAACAUACUCAUUGCCUAUAAAUUAGAUUGUUUUUUUUUUUUGGGUCACCAACAGGGUAGACAUUUGAUAUCCCAUUUCAGUUUAAUAAGUGGUUAAAUUUGACCAAUCAUUUUCAAGUGUUCUCCAUCACCCCAUCAUGAAAGAGGAAAAAAAAAAAAAAAAAAAAGUUUGAUUUUCCAAAUUUUAUGUCCAAAAAGCACCGAAUUCAAGGAAUGACAGGCUGAAAAAUAGAGCACAGAAAAUUUGAACCAAGUCAUGUGACCCACAUACUCAAAUAUAGACUCAACUAUGAAAGCAGCACCGGGCUACAAAUGACUAAAGAGUACUUUUGGUGCACGUUGCCCGUUUAAGUGCUAAACCUUCUUAUGAACGGAAUUAAUAUUUUUAAGUUACAAUUUUCAGUGUCGUUAAGUUGAGGAUAUUUUCAGCAAACAGUUUGCUUCAUACAUCGUUUAAAAGCACUAGAGGGAAAAUGUUUUUCAACUUAACUAUGUGCAUUUUAAACACGCGGAUUUAUAGCGCAUUUAAAUCCAUUGCUCAGCUAAAAAUAAUGGACCCAUUAGAGGUUGCCAAAAAUUACGAUUUAAAAAUCAGUCAUAACCUAUUUUAGUUUCUCCUGGCUCCAGAGAUGCCACAUCCAAUAAUAGGAAACACCGCAAGUCGAAAAGGUACGUGGGCCUACCAUGUGCACAAACAAAACAGGGAAAAGAUCUAGGGUUGAAAAGCUAAACAUUCAACAAAGUACAAAACACCACAGUAUUUCUGUUAAACUCUUUAUUCAGUACAGUUUACUUUUCAAUUUCUUCAAAACACAGUAUUGACAGAUUUACCACAAAAAGACAAAAACAAUUUACAGUCUACCUGAAGAUCAGAUACCAGUGAACUUGCUACCACUGAAAAGAAUAAACUUAAUUCAUGCUGUUCGUUAAAAGUCAGAAAAUCACUAUCACACACUCACACAAACAACACGAAGCAUGAUUCAAUCACUUACACAAGUCUGUUGUACAAAACGCAGUCAAUCGGCUGUCUCGGAAAAUUCCCAACCUGCGGUGAGUGUCUGAGCGCGGGCUUAUUUGCAGGAUCAGUGGGAAGGUCCGCAAAAGUUCGCCAUGCUCAAUUUAAUCUGCUCAGCGUGUUGUAAACUCCCAGAUCUGAAGCAUGUGCAGCAGAGGUGAACUCUUCGCGGCAGCAGGACUGUCCGCGCACAAAACACUCAAAGCUGAGAGACCGAGCAUCAGAGUACUCUAUAGCUUUUUUUUAAACGCAUCGGAACCACGGAAAACUUCCUGUAAUAUACUGAAAGCUUAAGACAAAACAGUAUAAAUCCCGUACAGGAAGCCAGAGAGCGUUAGGGUUAGAAGAAGUACUCUGAUUUCUCUCUUACGUGGUAAGGCUUUAUAUAGUGUCGAUGAUGUCAUGAUUAUGGACCCUCCCGCUGGUCUCUGAUUGGCUAGAUCGCGCGCCAAAUCACAUUUGAUAGGCUCUAAUUGCAUUAAUCAAAUCAAAUCAGACAAAAACAACAUUAAUUACAUGAUGGAUAGCCGCAUUCUGGAAGUUGAACUUUGUUUAUUUUUUAUUUUUUUUCAGCUGAAAAGAAAGAUUAUGUCCAUCCAGAACACAAAUCAGUGAUUGAACCAGUUACCAAGUUUUUAUUUCCAUCAUUGUUUCCCUCUUGAAUUUUCAAUAGGUUUUUAGAGUAGGCUAGUGGUGUACAAUUUAUUGAAAUAAUACUGUGGUGAAUGUUACUUGAAAAUACUUUCCAUAAUACACACAGUUAUAAUUUGCAGCUAAACGCUUCUAUUUCCAUUAGCGCUCGGAUUAUUGCUCUGUGAUGAACAAAAGUUUAUGAUUCUUAUCAUUAUAAUCUUCAGAAAUGAACACAACUUUUAUAAAUUCUGAAGCCUAAAUACAAUCUGCAGAAGAAAAAAAGCUAAAUGAUGACUUUUAAUGUGUCCAACAUCCUCUGUAGUACAAAUUUAGCCACUUAUUAGCAACUGCCUUUCUUAAGACAAGUAAAAGCUUUAAAAAAAAAUCACAAGGGGGUAUUAAUUAUGUAUUUUAUGUUAUAGAAUAAAACGUGAAAAUCUUUCAAACUUUAUUUCAGGCAAUUUUACCUCCCAAAAAUCCAUUCAAAACCCCAUUGGCUUCAGGAACCAGAAAUGCUAAUGCUAACUCUUUUCCAGUUUUUGGCCUAGGCUACAGAAAUACGUCAACCCUCCAUGUAAUACAGUUUUGGAACAUCAUGAGGGUGAGUAAAUUGUGACUUUUUAUUUUGAGCGAAUUAUUAAUUUAAUCUUUCACAUUAGCUGUUACUUAUGGCAGGAGUUUGUUGUUUUCACUAGAUGGCAGUAGCGGCAAACUCGUUGUCUGGUCCAGCCGUCUUCUGUGUGAGAAAUCAUUUAAUGUGUUGCAGAAAACGUCCUCUGCUGUACUUGAGUGAAAGUGAGAUGUCCAAGUAGACCGCCACUUAUAAUAAUGAUAUUUCUGCACAAUAAUGCUUUCUUUCAGGUGCUGAGGCAGCAUUAAUUGGUGGGAAGGUGAGCAGGGUAUUAAUGCAGACAGACAGCAUAUUCUGGGCCAGUGACAGUGAGUCAGCACCACAGCAGAGGGGGAGGCAGAGAGAGAGAAAGAGAGAGAAGGUAAAGUUCUACAUCGCUUACCAAAAGCUGCAACCGGCAAAACACAAAAAGAAGCAUAACUCAAUUAAUUUUUAAAGAGCAAGCAAUAGGGUUUUUGCAUAUACACUUUGUAGCAGCUGAUACACCUGAACAUAUUGCACCAUACUGCAGUGAAUCUCCUUGAUGCCGUUGAGCUGACAUUGAAGAGGCUUACAAAUCUUUUCGCGUUUGUUGUUCUAUAUACAUACCUUUUUGACUGUCACAUUCAUGCUUGUUUGCGGUUAUUUCACAUUCUGAUGCCAAGACUGAUUUCGCUGCCAAUGAGUGAGAUAUUCUUUGCUGCAGGAGUUUAUCCACACACUCACUCACUCAAUCACUCACGCAGGCGCUCUAAACUGCUGAAUUCUCUGCUUCAUGGAAGACUGCAGAAGCCUGCUGGGAGCUGCUAAGGCUUUCUGACCUGACUGUCCUUGAAUGCUCUUGAGAGAAUGAAGGAGAGAGAGAAAGAGAGAGCUCCAAAGCACUGGCACAAAAC